rnacentral:rRNA from 1 species
UGAGGAAUAUUGGUCAAUGGGCGGGAGCCUGAACCAGCCAAGUCGCGUGAAGGAAGAAGGAUCUAUGGUUCGUAAACUUCUUUUGCAGGGGAAUAAAGUGCAGGACGUGUCCUGUUUUGUAUGCACCCUGAGAAUAAGGAUCGGCUAACUCCGUGCCAGCAGCCGCGGUAAUACGGAGGAUCCGAGCGUUAUCCGGAUGUAUUGGGUUUAAAGGGUGCGUAGGUGGUUUGAUAAGUCAGCGGUGAAAGUUUGCAGCUUAACUGUAAAAAUGCCGUUGAAACUGUCGGACUUGAGUGUAAAUGAGGUAGGCGGAAUGCGUGGUGUAGCGGUGAAAUGCAUAGCUAUCACGCAGAACUCCGAUUGCGAAGGCAGCUUACUAAGCUACAACUGACACUGAAGCACGAAAGCGUGGGGA